UCUUUUUUUUUUUUUUUUUAAUAUUUUUAUCUUUUUGUCCUGGCAUAUCAGCAAUUGUUUGGCUAUCUCUGGUAGAUUGGAUAUCUCUUUGCUAAAAGUUCUGUCCUCCCUCCCACAGUAGGAUGAUACGUCCUAGCCAGUUGGACUCAGGCUUGGCCACAGAGCUCGUCCUCGUCAUUGAAAGGUAGACUCCUAUCCGUCCACCUGGGUCCCAGAGUGAAGCUGAAUGGCAUGGGACAGAGCUGCAGCCAACCCUUGAUGGAUGUGCUGUGCAGAACAUCUUCCGUGAGCCACCAAGUCUGGGGUGGGGGGUGGGGGCGGUGUUCCUGUGGCCUGCCCUUGCCUGUUCUGAUUAGUUCCAAGGCCCCAGACCUUUCCUUCUAGGGCUUGUGGCUCUUCUUCCUGCUUGGGGGCAGGUUCCCUGCCCUUUCUGUUCCCAAACCUCCCAUCUGUGAAAAGUAGGGAGGGGAGAAACUGAUUUGUUGGGCAAAUAAGCGGUGAGCCUUCCUGAAGAUUCCUCUUAAUGAUACUGACUUGUAUUUUUUACAAAGCAAAUUAUCUAAGAGAGAUCUUGGCUGUUUCUUGCUAGCAACAGACCUAGCUGACAUCUGGUGAGGACAGACGGUGUUUGGGAAGCCCCGAUGCUCUAGGCAAGGAAGAGUCACAACCCAGGGUUGGAAACUGCUGGACUAAAGAAUGUCCAUGAGGGCAGAAGGGAGCACAGUUGUUUCAGAAAGUCCUGGACUUGAAUCCUGCUUUUUGCCAUUUACUAGGUAAUGACCUGCGGUGAGUCUGGUCUUCUCUGUGCGCACACACACUGGCGCUGUGCAGAGUGUCCUGUACGUGUACAUGUGACGUAGAACAGUUCCUGGCACAAAAGUGUUCUCUAAAUGUUAGCCCUUUUUAUUAUCUCAGUUAAUCCUCCCUACGUUCUUACUUAUUCAGUAGAUAUUCAGUGAACAUGACCAUGUGCCAGGGAUUGAUUAGGUGUGGGGGAGGGAGGGGGGAAACGUCAAAAACUGCUGCCUUUGUGGAGCACACUGUUACCCUAAUUUUACAAUUAAGAAUGCUGAAGCCCAGAGAGGUUGAGUGUCUUUUCCUUGUGCACACAGUAAGAGAAAAAGCAUUCUGGUUGUUUUGCCUGAUGACACACAAAAUCCCUGCUCCUCAUAUGUUCCUGCAGCAGCUGCUCUGGUCUGCAGUGACCUUGCCAUGAUCCUUGAGCCAUGGAGGGAAACUGAGUUUCAUUUCAUGUACUUGGGACCAGAGAAUGGGCAAAGUCAGUGGAAGCUGUCAGAGACGAGACUUGGGGCGGUGCCUGUGGCUCAAAGGAGUAGGGCGCCGGCCCCAUAUGCCGGAGAUGGCAGGUUCAAACCCAGCCCCGGCCAAAAACUGCAAACAAAACAAAACAAAACAAAAAACAGAUGAGACUUGGGAGCUAUGGGCUGCCAUGUUUUCUUCCAUGAGAAUGAAUCUGGAGAGAGAAUGAAGAAUGGGGCUAAGGCUGAGAGAGAAGCAGAGAAGUGCGGGGGGAGAUGGAGAGACACACACUGGUGUUCAUUGCUCCAAUUUCAACCAUUUUGAGCUCCUUCCUUUCUUUCAGCUCCCGAGUCACCCAGUAUCCUUACAACAGCUUCUCUCUUUUGUUUGUUCUUUUUUUUUCCUUAUUCUUUUUUUCUUUUCUUUUUUUGAGAUAGUCUCACUCUGUUGCCCUGGGUAGAGUACUGUGGUGUCACAGCUCACAGCAACCUCAAACUCAUGGGCUCAAGCAAUCCUCUGGCCUCAGCCUCCCAAGGAGCUGGGACUAUAGGCACCCGCCACAAUGCAUGGCUGUUUGUAGAGAUGGGUCUCACACUUGCUCAAACUCCUGCGCUCAGGCAAUCCACCCUCCUCAGCCUCCCAGAGUGCUAGGAUUACAGGCAUGAACCACUGCGCCCGGCCGACUUCCUUUUUUUGCUUAAACUUGCAACCAAAGGGAUCCUAGUUAAUACACUAGGAUGUGGCCAAUGCCCAAUGAGUGACUGCUCUAAGAUUCUUUGAGCUCCUGCCACUCCCUAGACUUUCUUUUUGGCGUCUGGAGCUGAGAGUAUCCUGUUCUUAAAUAACUUUGCAAUAGAUUCGCUGCUUCAGAGCAUGUGGCUGCAACCUAACUCUUAAUAAAUCAGGUGGGAGCUUUCUGCAUGGAAAAGAGCCUGUGCCAUACAUCAUUUUUGUUUUCCUCUUGGGGAGAACGGCCAUGCUACAGCAAUAACCUGCCACAUAUAUGUCUCAAAGCCCUAUUUAUAUAGCCAUAUGGAUAAAUAUAUAUAAAUAGGAGCCUGGAAUAAUAGAUUAAGAGAUCUGCUCAUCCAUAGAAGACUUAUGGGGCUUUCAGGACCUAAUGGUGGCCUGAUUCAGUAAGAAAAAUGGGUCUCCAGCAGGAUGUGGCCAAGAAUUAGGUGAGCCCCUGACCUGAAAGAGCCCCUGUCCAGGAGACAGAGAGGUGGAAGGACUAUGUGAAGAGCCAGAGGCUCUGUCAGAAUGAGCCGUAGGAGGGAACAAGCAGGACAGAGCUGUGCAAAGUUAUCAACCCUCGGCUGUGUCCCCAGCUUAGCCCCUGUUCUGCUGUGUGACCUUAGGCAGGUCACUUGCCUUCUCUGAGCCUUAGUUCCUCAUCUAUAAAUGAGGAAUGUGGACUUGCUGACCUCUAAGCUUCUCUUCUGCUCUGGUAUUAAAAUGACUCUGAGGUCGGCUUGGCGCCUGUGGCUCAAGCGGCUAAGGUACCAGCCCCAUACACCUGAGCUGGCAGGUUCGAAUCCAGCCCCGGCCAGCCAAACAACAAUGACAACUACAACCAAAAAAUAGCUGGGUGUUGCGGUGGGCGCCUAUAGUCCCAGCUACUUGAGAGUCAGAGGCAAGAGAAUUGCUUGAGCCCAGGAGUUUGAGGUUGCUGUGAGCUGUGAUGCCACAGCACUCUACCCAAGGCGACAGCUUGAGGCUCUGUCUCAAAAAAAAAAAAAUUACUGAGGUCUCUGGUCACGGUCCUUAAAGUCCAGGUGGUUAAAAAGAUCUCAUAGCUCACAGCAACCUCUAAAAUUCCUGUGCUCAAGUAAUCCUCUUGUCUCAGCCUCCCGAGUACUGGGACUAUAGGCACCCACACAACACUGGGCUAAUUUUUAGGAUGGGGUCUCUCUCUUGCUCAGGCUAGUCUCAAACUUCUGAUCUCAAGCGAUCCACCCACCUUGGCCUCCCAGAGUGCUGGGAUUAUAGGCAUGAGCCACCUUGCCUGGCCCCCACAUAGCUUAUCUUGCUUGGCCCUCAUGACCACCACAAGAGGGAGGCACCAUUACCACCCCUGUUUAUAGAAGAGGAAGCAGAGAACAGAGAGGCCUAGGGUGUGUCCCAGGCCACACAGCUGGCAAGUGGGCAUGUUAAGACACCCUCAGGAAUCUGACUCCAUUCAUAUUCCUGAUCACUGUGGUGGCUGUGGCUCAAGGAGUAGGGCGCCAAUCCCAUAUGCCAGAGGUGGCGGGUUCAAACCCAGCCCUGGCCAAAAAAAAAAAGAAA